UAAACAACAGACGUGUCCCAUGGAUC
rnacentral:piRNA from 1 species